rnacentral:tRNA from 1 species
AAGGAUUUAAGUUAAAAAAACUAUUGACCUUCAAAGUCAACAAUAGAAUCUUUCUAAGCCUUA